rnacentral:rRNA from 1 species
AUUGAACGCUGGCGGCAUGCCUUACACAUGCAAGUCGAACGGCAGCACGGGAGCAAUCCUGGUGGCGAGUGGCGAACGGGUGAGUAAUAUAUCGGAACGUGCCCAGUAGUGGGGGAUAACUGCUCGAAAGAGCAGCUAAUACCGCAUACGACCUGAGGGUGAAAGGGGGGGAUCGCAAGACCUCUCGCUAUUGGAGCGGCCGGUAUCAGAUUAGCUAGUUGGUGGGGUAAAGGCCUACCAAGGCAACGAUCUGUAGUUGGUCCGAGAGGACGAACAGCCACACUGGGACUGAGACACGGCCCAGACUCCUACGGGAGGCAGCAGUGGGGAAUUUUGGACAAUGGGCGCAAGCCUGAUCCAGCAAUGCCGCGUGCAGGAAGAAGGCCUUCGGGUUGUAAACUGCUUUUGUCAGGGAAGAAAUCCUCUAGGUUAAUACCCUUGGGGGGAUGACGGUACCUGAAGAAUAAGCACCGGCUAACUACGUGCCAGCCGCCGCUGUAACAC